GAUGAACGCUGGCGGCGUGCCUAAUACAUGCAAGUCGAGCGAACAGACGAGGAGCUUGCUCCUCUGACGUUAGCGGCGGACGGGUGAGUAACACGUGGAUAACCUACCUAUAAGACUGGGAUAACUUCGGGAAACCGGAGCUAAUACCGGAUAAUAUAUUGAACCGCAUGGUUCAAUAGUGAAAGACGGUUUUGCUGUCACUUAUAGAUGGAUCCGCGCCGCAUUAGCUAGUUGGUAAGGUAACGGCUUACCAAGGCAACGAUGCGUAGCCGACCUGAGAGGGUGAUCGGCCACACUGGAACUGAGCCGCGGUCCAGACUCCUCCGGGAGGCAGCAGAAGGGAAUCUUACGCUAUGGGCGAAAGCCUGACGGAGCACCGCCGCGUGAAUGAUGAAGGUCUUCGGAUCGUAAAACUCUGUUAUUAGGGAAGAACAAAUGUGUAAGUAACUAUGCACGUAUUGACGGUACCUAAUCAGAAAGCCACGGCUAACUACGUG
rnacentral:rRNA from 1 species